rnacentral:rRNA from 1 species
CCUACGGGGGACAGCAGUGAGGAAUAUUGGUCAAUGGACGAGAGUCUGAACCAGCCAAGUAGCGUGAAGGAUGACUGCCCUAUGGGUUGUAAACUUCUUUUAUAUGGGAAUAAAACGUUCCACGUGUGGGAUUUUGUAUGUACCAUAUGAAUAAGGAUCGGCUAACUCCGUGCCAGCAGCCGCGGUAAUACGGAGGAUCCGAGCGUUAUCCGGAUUUAUUGGGUGUAAAGGGAGCGUAGGUGGAUUGUUAAGUCAGUUGUGAAAGUUUGCGGCUCAACCGUAAAAUGGCAGUUGAAACUGGCAGUCUUGAGUACAGUAGAGGUGGGCGGAAUUCGUGGUGUAGCGGUGAAAUGCUUAGAUAUCACGAAGAACUCCGAUUGCGAAGGCAGUUCACUGGACUGCAACUGACACUGAGGCUCGAAAGUGUGGGUAUCAAACAGGAUUAGAUACCCCAGUAGUC